rnacentral:misc_RNA from 1 species
AACGCAUCUUGCGCUCCUUGGCAUUCCAAGGAGCAUGCCUGUUUGAGUGUCGUUAAACUAUCAAAACACCUUUCUUGGGUGUUUUGGACUUUGGGAGUAUCUUGCUGGUCUGUUUGAGCCAGCUCUCCUUAAAAGCAUUAGCUUUGGAGACCAUCAGUGUGAUAAUUUGUUUACACUGACUUGAGUGUCUCGGCUUCUCAUUUUGAAAUUAUACCCCUUUGACCUCAAAUCAGGUAGGACUACCCGCUGAACUUAA